UACGUAGGGGGCAAGCGUUGUCCGGAAUCAUUGGGCGUAAAGAGCGUGUAGGCGGCCCGGUAAGUCCGCUGUAAAAGUCAAAGGCUCAACCUUUGAAUGUCAGUGGAUACUGCCGGGCUAGAGUCCGGAAGAGGCGAGUGGAACUCCUGGUGUAGCGGUGGAAUGCGCAGAUAUCAGGAAGAACACCAACGGCGAAGGCAGCUCGCUGGGACGGUACUGACGCUGAGGAGCGAAAGCAUGGGGAGCGAACAGG
rnacentral:rRNA from 1 species